rnacentral:lncRNA from 1 species
CCCAAAUCCAGUCUCAGGGAGAGUCUCUGAAGAUGGGAACGCUACGACACUGCCUCCCGAUCUCCUAGGUGACAGGAGCUUGUGUCACUAAUUAGUCCCCGAGCCUGCGGCACCGAGGUGACGCGAUGGGGUUGAAAGGCAGCAAUUGCAGCUGAAGGGAUUUGGUAAAGAAUUCGGUGAGAACGAAUGUUGGGUGUGAACACAGGGGAUUUAAUCUGUGUUUGUUCACACAGGCCUGUUGUCUAGCGAGUUACUCCGAAGAGGAGCCUCGGGCUGCAGGAUUAAUCAAUGCUGGUUCAUGCACUACUCUCCAAUAUUAAGAAUGCAUUGUAAGAAGUGUGUCUCCUCAAAAUAAAGCGUGGGCCCACAACAGCAAUCAAGGAG